GUUUUUCUCCUGGUAUCCACUGUAGGCCUCUAUGAAUUUUGACCAUAAGGCACGCGGUGAAUGCCAAGAGCGAACGA
rnacentral:pre_miRNA from 11 species